CAAGAGAGAAUAUUUCAUCUUCAUUCUUGGGUUCAAGCUUCAACAACUAGGGUUUCCACAUCAAGAUCAUUUUUGUUCGGGUUUAAGGUGAAAUUUGGGGAAAAGAUCCAAAAUCCAUCUUAUGGUGUUAGAAUGCUCUCAAAGAGAUGCAGUCUAGCGUGGACCCCUGUGGCCGAUGAGCUCUA